GCCCACUUAGCUCAGCUGGUAGAGCAACUCCAUGGUAAGGAGUAGGUCCGCGGUUCAAGUCCGCGAGUGGGCUCCA
rnacentral:tRNA from 1 species